rnacentral:tRNA from 1 species
AUCCCCCUAGUACUAAAUGAUAGUAUAAGUGACUUCCAAUCACCAGGCCUUGGUUAAAACCCAAGGGGGGAUA